UUGCAAUCACAAUUCUUAUUUACAAAUUGUAAAUGACUCAAUUCAAUGGUAAAAGAUGCCAAUUAUUCAAUUCAGACUAGAUAAAGAAAGACAAUUGAAGUUUCACUUUCUUUUGAUCAUCUUAUAAUACAAUUGAUAAACUCAUAUCGAAAACAAAUUAUCAUCAUUUACAAAAGUCUGCAAGGUUUCAAAAUUUUCAAACAUUAGCCAGUUGUUUUUUAAACAUACCUAUAUCCAGUUGAGAACUCACAUCAUGAUUUUGAUAACCAAUCUUAAAAAACAUAUUAAAGUACGCUUCUUUUGUCUCAAAAUAGUAAUUGAAAAACAUAUAAAUUGGUCAUUGAGCAUUAGAUCAUUACCUCGAGUCGAAGCAAACUCAAUAAUGAAGGUUUUCUUGCUCUUAGCUUUUGUCGCCUGCGCCAGCGCUCAAUGGGCACCCAACUGCGGAAGAAGUCAGUACCCUGAUCCUGCUCCCGAACAGAAUACAGAUGAAUUCGGUAGAGUUGUUGGUGGCUGGGAAUCCAGACCAAAUGAAUUUCCUUAUCAAUUGAGUUUGAGAAGAUUUGGAAGUCACACUUGCGGAGCUGUCAUCAUCAACAGCCAAUGGGCUCUUUCUGCCGCUCAUUGUACUUCCUCUGGAUCUGCAAGUGGUUUGGCCGUUGUUGCUGGAGCUCAUCGUAGAAGCAGCCCAGCUGCUGCUGAACAAACUUCAAACCUUUUGAGUGUAACCAACCACGAAGACUACCAAAACCCCCUUCGUUACUCCAACGAUAUCACUCUUCUCAGAUUGGAAACCCCAUUGACCUUCAACGCUCAAGUCACUGGUGCCUGUGCCCCAAGAGAUGUCACCUAUGAUGAUGAUACCGUUACCAUUUCUGGAUGGGGAUCUACCUUCUCUGGUGGUUUCGUUACCGAUGAAUUGAGAUACACCAAUGUUCAAGUAUGGAGCAAUGAUGAAUGUUCUGGCCCAUACCCAGGAAGCAUCGAUGAUAGCAUGAUCUGUGCUGCUGCCCCAGGCAGAGAUACCUGUCAAGGAGAUUCUGGUGGCCCAAUGGCUUACAACAACAACGGUCAAUUCGAAGUUGUCGGUUUGACUUCAUGGGGAAGAGGAUGUGCUCUCGCCACCCAUCCAGGAGUUUACGCCAGAGUCAGUGCCAACCUCCAAUGGAUCGCUGAUAACACCCAAUAAACUAUUUUAAAUAAAGUGCCCAAUUCAUAAUAAUACUUGUUUCAAUAAACAAUUGCUAUAAAAAUAGAACAAAUAACCUAGGCCAAACUUUGCAAUCAUUUCUAAUUAUUUAUGACUUAUGUCAUACAUGCCUCUUUUUCUUUAAUACUUUUUAAAAAAGCUGAAUGGUUACCAUAAGUUUCUCUAACAGUUUAAAAGUACUAAAUUCUUAAAACGUUUAAUGGUUUAUUGAACCCUUUCCACUUUAUUCAACAACUAUUUUAUCUGUAUAAUGAUAGAGGAAACUUUUCAUGCUAUACUAUGUUUUUAGAAACUAUUUUUAGAGGGAGUCAGUACUAUUUUAAUUUUAAUACAUGACUAAAUAAUAAGAAUUUUAGGCCUGAUUUUCUUAUCUUAUCGUGCUAUUCGAUUUUUGAAUUUCCAAUAUGUUGAAAGAGAUUUUAAUACAAAAUUUAAUUGAGAUAAA
rnacentral:misc_RNA from 1 species